AGCUGCAUUAGUUCUAUCCGCAACCUUAAUUCCUUUUUGCUGUGUAGGAAAAUAUAUGCACAAUUUCCAGUGAUUAGAAUCAACAACAACAAAAAGGAGUUCUUUAUGGCGAAUUCAGACCAUCCUAGGCCUCUUGAGAGUUACUCCUUCCUUUUUGGAAUGAAUGCCCUGUGGGCAGGAUGGCUGAAAACCAGAGGAUAGUCCCUGCAGAGUCCUGUGCUUCUGAAGAAACACUCUUAUGAAAGCUGUAUCGAAGCAGGAAUGGAGGUAGAAACAACCCCAUGACAACUUUGGAUUAAAGAUGAAGGCCAUACAAUAUGGAAGUAACCUGGGUCCCUGAAUCCCAUUUGGAAGAGAGCUGCCUGAACUGGAAGGUACUAUGCUGAGUGAACGUCACAGAGGAAGAGGCUAUUACGACAGCUGGUGCUGUUUGCCAUCUUCAGAAGGAGCAAACCUUCCAAGAGCUGUUUUUCUUUACAUCAAGAGGUGCAUUUCUCACUGGUGAGCGAAUAAUCAAUAGAUCAGGACCAGAAGUUUUGUGAUGAUUUCUCCGGGAAGAGACUGCCCAGGGUGCUUGCGGCCUGUUCUGCCUGUCUCCCUGCUGCUCCUGGCUCUCUGCAGAAUUUAGCAGAUUAAUCACCGUGCUCCAGCCCAGACUGUUAUUUUUAGCUCUGUUGACUUCUCAGCUGGCUGCAAACAACCAUGCACUAGACAAAGUACCUUGCAGGUGGGCAAGAGAGCCCCGCGAAGGGAAGAGGAGUACUCACCCCACCGUGAAGAAUGGCAGGGUAUCUCAGGAGGGAAGCUCAUGGAAAGAAGGAAACCCGUCCUGUUGACCGGUGGUUAGUCUUCACCUGGAUCGCUGCCGGGUAUAGUUGGCUUGCAGUAAACAGUUGGGCCAUCAGUGGACGAACGGACAAGUCAUCGCCCUCCCCCGCGCCAUGAAGGUGAUUUUGUGGCAGCUGGACUGCGCCUCACUCAGGUGCCGUAACUCCCGAGUCCAGUGUCACUGCCUUUCCCUUUGGUCGCCCUCGCCCGCCUCCAUGAUCACUGCCCAGCAGCACUGCCUCCCGCUCGCGUCACUCGCUGUCGCUUUGUCUAGGUCAUUCCCUUCAACCUUUCCUCUGGGGAGUCCCCUUAGAGCCUCAGCCUUUUUCUGGGCAUCACCACUGUGCUCUUUUAAUUAAAAAAAAAAUGUUUUUGGCCAGCUUUAUUGAGGUGGAAAUGGCAAACGGAAGUUGUGUAAGUUUAGGUUGUACAGUGUGAUUUUUUUUGAAGGUGUACAAUGUGAUGACUUCAUAUAUGUAUACAUUUUUCAGUGGCGAGAACACUUAAGAUCUACUCUCGGCAGAUUUCAAGCAUACGAUAUAGUUUUAUUUACUGUAGUCACCCUGCUGUACCUUAGGUCCCCCCAAUUUCUUC